AGAGUUUGAUCCUGGCUCAGAUUGAACGCUGGCGGCAUGCCUUACACAUGCAAGUCGAACGGCAGCACGGGAGCAAUCCUGGUGGCGAGUGGCGAACGGGUGAGUAAAGUAUCGGAACGUGCCCAGUCGUGGGGGAUAACGUAGCGAAAGCUACGCUAAUACCGCAUACGAUCUAUGGAUGAAAGCAGGGGAUCGCAAGACCUUGCGCUGAUUGAGCGGCCGAUAUCAGAUUAGCUAGUUGGUGGGGUAAAAGCCUACCAAGGCGACGAUCUGUAGCGGGUCUGAGAGGAUGAUCCGCCACACUGGAACUGAGACACGGUCCAGACUCCUACGGGAGGCAGCAGUGGGGAAUUUUGGACAAUGGGCGAAAGCCUGAUCCAGCCAUGCCGCGUGAGUGAAGAAGGCCUUCGGGUUGUAAAGCUCUUUCGGCCGGGAAGAAAUCGCAUAGGUUAAUACCCUGUGUGGAUGACGGUACCGGAAUAAGAAGCACCGGCUAACUACGUGCCAGCAGCCGCGGUAAUACGUAGGGUGCGAGCGUUAAUCGGAAUUACUGGGCGUAAAGCGUGCGCAGGCGGUUUUUUAAGACAGGCGUGNAAUCCCCGGGCUUAACCUGGGAACUGNGCUUGUGACUGGAANGCUNNANACNGNNNANGGGGGNGGAAUUNCNCNNNNNNANNGAANGCNNNNAAA
rnacentral:rRNA from 1 species